rnacentral:rRNA from 1 species
GACGAACGCUGGCGGCGUGCCUAAUACAUGCAAGUCGAACGAGAGCGCCCGGUGCUUGCACUGGUCAAUCUAGUGGCGCACGGGUGAGUAACACGUGGGUAACCUGCUCAUCAGAGGGGGAUAACAUCCGGAAACGGAUGCUAAAACCGCAUAGGUCUUCGAGCCGCAUGGCGUGAAGAGGAAAAGAGGCGCAAGCGGCUGCUGACGGAUGGACUCGCGGUGCAUUGGCUAGUUGGGGAGGUAACGGCUCAGCAAGGCCGGGAUGCAGAGACGACGUGAGGGGGUGAUCGCCCACAUUGGGACUGGGACACGCCCCAAGCUCCUGCGGUAGGCAGCAGUAGCGAAUCUUCCGCAAUGGACGCAAGUCUGACGGAGCAACGCCGCGUGAGUGAAGAAGGUUUUCGGAUCGUAAAACUCUGUUGUUAGAGAAGAACAAGUGCUAGAGUAACUGUUAGCUCCUUGACGGUAUCUAACCAGAAAGCCACGGCUAACUACGUG